GACCCUUAGCGACAAUGUCCCACCUACAUUCAGGAUCAGUCGUAAAAGGACGCAUGCAAGCAGCACCAUGAUGCCCCUGGACACUGAUGAGGACCACUCCUAUAACAAGAGGCCUUACAGCUUCCUUCCUAAAGAGUCGUGAGAUGGAACUUUGUUCUCAUGACCUCGCCAAGAACAUGAGUGAG